rnacentral:rRNA from 1 species
CAGUCGCCACGGUAAUACGAAGGGUGCAAGCGUUAAUCGGAAUUACUGGGCGUAAAGCGUGCGUAGGCGGUUUGUUAAGUCUGUUGUGAAAUCCCCGGGCUCAACCUGGGAAUGGCAAUGGAUACUGGCAAGCUAGAGUGUGUCAGAGGAUGGUGGAAUUCCCGGUGUAGCGGUGAAAUGCGUAGAGAUCGGGAGGAACAUCAGUGGCGAAGGCGGCCAUCUGGGACAACACUGACGCUGAGGCACGAAAGCGUGGGGAGCAAACAGGAUUAGAUACCCCCGUAGUCCCUGUCUCUUAUAA